rnacentral:lncRNA from 1 species
UUUUUAUUUUCAAAUCUAUAAUCUAUGGUUAGUUCCUCAAGAUAAAGAUCCGAAUGUUAAAUGUUUUUAUCUAUGGUCACAUGCAGAUGACUACAUAUUUUAACGCGAUUUAAGACAUUUUGAAAUUUUUUGCAGAAAAAUGGAAUUAUGAUUUGCAAUAAUUUAGUGUUAUCUCUUAUGGUGUAUUUCAAUGUUUACAUCAUAUCAGCUUCGACGCCAGUGUCGUUAAAUUUAUUAGACUGGGCAACGGUUCUGUGGUGAAAAUACUGCUGUUGUUCCAACAAGGGAUGAAUCGGAUUGAAAGGAGGGUCAGUUCCUAUUUACGAAUUAACCUGAGUUAGUAUAAUUGAACGCACCUACAAAACCUAUUAUCUAUGUAGUGUAAGUAUAAAAGGAAUUUUUAUCUGUGGAUCUUCCGGCGAUCUCAUUACUCAUUUUCUCAUUUGUAAUUUUGUUUUCGGUCUUCACGUAGAUGGAUAAGUUGUCGUUUUUGGUGUCCAUUAACGGAGACAACACCUGAAGGUUUGCUGUGAGAUGACAUUCUUGGUUUAGAUGGGGAAACUUACAGAUGCAAUGUUUAUGGCAGUCAGACUUAUUUUUAUUUCCAAAAAUGCUUCUAAUGAGCUGGCCAAAAAUUCAUAUGGUGGUAACAAUAAUUAAUUUCCAUUAAAACAUAAUAAGUGAACAUGAAAAGGGUAAAUUAAAAGGAGCCGAAACGUGGAGAGGGAGAAACUCACAUUUCUUUCUCUUGGACUCAGAAAGGGUAAGAAAUCUUUUAACUAUUUUAUGAUGUGCUUAUAAAAUGGUGUGUGAUUUUC